AAAAUAUUUUUUUCAAACAACAUUUUCAACAAUGCAUCAUAUACACAUUUCCUAAACAAUGUUCGUCUUAAACCAAUUAAAUAGAGGGUAAUGCUGGGAUUCUCGAAACCUAAUUAAGAAUUUGAUGAUUAAACUUCUUACAUACUCUUUACCCUCGGUGAUUUAUUAUAUAGAUAAAAAUCUGCAAACUAUUCAAACUAUUAAAUAAUUCAUGACAACUAUACACUCAUUAUUUGAGUUAAGAUUACAGAAAAACAUCUUCGAGUAUGAGAAAACCGAUAAAAUAAUUUUAUUGAAAACAUAUAAUAACAAAAUAAAUUUAGUAUUAGUACAAUUAAAUAUGAAAAAUUAAAUAAUAAAUACAUCAUUAAUCUAUAAAUUAGAAGUUGAAGAGCUUACAUUAAUUAUUUAGUGGACAUAGGGCAAAUGUUAAAGUGAUGAUGUGUCAAUCAUAUGGAAAGAGUUGGCCAACUUUCAUAUAUAUGAUUGGAGUGAAUCGAAUCUACAUCAUUCAUCAACCAAAAAAUAAUCUAGAAAAAUAUAUAUCAUAAUUUCUAACUAAACUAAACAAAAACGCUCGUUGUUAUAUUUUAGCUUUUUAAAUAUAAUAAAGCUCGUAUUGACAAAGCUAACGGAUAAACCCUU
rnacentral:sRNA from 1 species